UGUAGGAGAUAUUUGAUUUUUAAUCUUGUUAAUCCUAUUCAUCCCCGUCGGGAUGAAACGAAGGGGCCCUUAGGGCUCGUUCGGCACACCUCAAAACCAAGGGGAAUGAAAGGGAUUAGGACAAGGAUGGGAUUAACUGAACAAUGGCUUAAUUUUUUUUCCAUGUAAUUACGUUAGUAGAAGUUUGGACAUAUUCUCCUUCCCCUCUUUACAUCCUCUGAUUUUUUUCUACUGUACAAAUUGUUUACUCCGGGCUUAAUAAAAGAAAUUGCCGAAUUUCAUAAAAAAAGAAAAAACAUGUUUAUGCACUACGUUGUAUUUAAGUAUUCUGAGUGUCUAUUUUUCAGUCGACAAUCAUAUCCAUCCGAUCUAGAUUUUCUCAUGCAUAAUUCUUGCAUUUGACAAAAAAAAUAGUUAUUUCUCGGUUGCCUUAGAAAUAGCAAAACAGUAAAGUAUUUUAUAGUGUGUCAUUUAUUUUAUUUUUGUUGUGGAGUAGUUAUUUAAGACAGAAAGAGUAAAAAAAUAGAUAGAUAAAAAAAGUAAAACAUGAAAAAUAAAUAGCGGUAAUAAUAUCCGAGAUGGGUUGAAACAUCAGUAAAGUGCACCGGAGGUCCCGAUUGUUUUUAAAAUGUGCCAAUUUGUUCCUAAAUUUUGGAAAUGCACGAUUAGGUCCUAAUAUUUUUUUAAACCGUUCACCACAUUUCCUAAGUGUGUAUCUGCUAAUCUGAUCAACUGAUGUCCCCGUUUAACCAGCGCCAAGUAGGCUUGGGCCCACCUGUCGGGUAACAAAUCAGAUUGCCAUUUGCCAAAAAAAAAAGAUACAUUUCGGUCCAUUUGAAAUCAAGUAAACCUGGUAUCAUUUUGGCUCGUUGUAUGGGCACAA
rnacentral:lncRNA from 1 species